UCAGUGCAAUGUGGUUGGGGAGACUGAUGGACGGUUCGAAAGUUAUCUCAAGUCCUCAGAAAGCCAAGCCUUUGCAUGGCCAGCUCUGGGGUGCUAGAUGCAAGCAUUUCGACAGCUCGGAUAGGCAGGGAUUCUGACGCUCAGGAGCCAAAGAAUACUGAGUGGUACAGCUCGGAUGGAAAGGGAUUCUGGCACUGGGGAGCCAAGGAAUGCCACAGGUCACAUUAGUCAUGGUAACAUGACGCCACUCCCAAGUCCCAAGCCACCCACACCAAGGGACACAAUCACCAAUCUCUUGGCAUGAUCUAGAGCACUGAGGAAUCCAGGCCCCAAGCAAAAGGACCAAACCCACAGCAGAAAAGAGAGAAGAAGGAGGAGGAGGAGGAGGAAGAGGAGGAGGAGGAGGCAGCAGCAGCAGCAGCAGCAACCAGAUCAGGGUACGACUUUUCCAAAUUUUAUUAGUCUGGGUCCAGUCGAUGGACAGAAACUACACAGCAACACUUAUUUUACUCAAUAAUGGCUCCAAAGCCCAAGAGUAUGAAUGCAGAAGUGAAGCCGCAGUUCCUUUACUGGAACCCAUGUAUGUUCUCAAUAAGAAUGGGGGAGAGUCAUAUACUGAGGUUACUAUGCUGUGUAAAAAGUUGCUGUUAGACUUUUAGGGAGUUUAUAAGCUUCAGCACAGGUAUAUAUGUAUAUAGGAAAACCUAACACAGAGUUAAGUACUAUACAGGACUUCAGAUAUCCACUAGGGGCCUUGGGAUGUACCCCACACAUAUAAUGGACUGUUUUAACAAUGUUUCUCAUCCACAUCUACGUUUUUAAGAAAAAUAGCACAGAAUAUAUUUUGCCACAACAUAGAGCCACCAAUUGGUUACAUUUAUUUGGAAUCUUUAUUUUUAAUGAAAAGUAGAUAUUUAGAUAUAAAACUGGAGUAGCAUUUAAUUUCUCUGCUUUGUCACAUUUCAUUUCUAUAAAACUCCAUUCUUACUAUAACAGCAGCAGCCACUUUUUGGGAACUAAAUACACAUUCUCCCAAUUCUAGCUGUAGAGAAAAGUGUUUCCCAUAAGCAAUGCUUAGUUAGACAAAUGGAUUUUACUCAAAUUUACACAGGAAUCAUGACAAUAUAUCCAUCAAUUCCAUUGUCUCCAUGCUGAUUUUUUUCUUCUCCUUUUUUCCUUUCGUGUUAACAUGGAUGUAGCCUGCUGUGCUUAGCUGCUAGAGUAUUCUACUGUAUGACUUACAUUUUAUUCAUCUGCUUCAUAAUCAGCAAACACCUGUGCCCGUUUUUGUUCCCAUAAUUGGUGCUGCAAUGAACAGACCGACUGGUACAUGACUCCCUAAGUAAGCCUAUCAGUUUCUUGACAAGUACAAAUGCUCAAGAGUGACAGCUGAGGGCUCUAGAAUCUACAAUCUCUCUCCUACUCAAGUCUCAGAAACCAUCAUCCUCUUAGAAAUUUUAUACAAAGCUUUGAUUUCUGCAAAGACACUGGAUUCCUAAGAAAUACUUCAAUAACUGAGGACAUCAGAGGUCUGUUAUUUUCCCCCAAAAGUUAAUUAUCCUGAGAUUAUGUUUUAAGUCAUCCAUGAUUUCUGGCAGUAUCAAUUACCAAUCCCCCAUGAAUUCAUCCACGUUUCUAGAUUCACUAUUCUGUCCUGACCUCAACUUUAUACAGCUCUACCAACAAAGACUUCUGAGCAGGCAUGGAGCUGUACGCUUGCAAUUGCAGCACUGGGAGACGGAGUAAGAGCAUCACCAGAAGCCUGAGGCCAGCUUGGGCUACACAGUGAGUUUAAGGUCACCCUGGGCUAUGUACAUAGGGAGACUCUGUCCCAAAAUGCCUUUUUGGGACAAUGAUUUUCACAAAUUAUCCAAAUAGCAAAGCAUAUAUCAAAAAUAUUUUUGCCUCUUAAUUUCAAACCUUUAUAUUGCUCAUAUUAUCUUGAUAUACUUGAUAAGCUUUCUAAGACUCUGCUAACUGGACUCUUAAGUUCAUUGAGAAGGGUCCUAAAAUUAAAAUACUGUUUGAGAGUCUGGGAAGUGUAUAACAUACUGUAAUACAUCUUACUAAAUAUCUUUCUUUGUACUUUCAGCUUUGAGUCCCUACGGAAGGACUUCCUACACUUGUAUAAAUUUAACGUAAGACGAAUCUUCUGAUAUAUUACUAACCAUACAUUCUGCUCAGGCGUUCCUAAAUCUAAGGCGUUUAUAGAGUUCUAGUGAAUAUGGAUUUUCUGGUGUCUGAUGUGGUGUGACUUCUGGCUGAAAGCUUUGCCACACUCACUGCACUGGUAAGGCUUCUCGCCAGUGUGGAUCCUCAUGUGCAAAGCAAGAGUUGAGAACUGAGAAAAGGCCUUCCCGCAUUCGCUGCAACCGUAGGGCUUCUCACCGGUGUGGCUCCUCAGGUGCACUGUAAGGGAUGAACUCUGACAGAAGGCUUUCCCACAGAUUUUACAUUCGUACGGUUUAUCGCCUGUAUGAAUCCGCACAUGCACGAUGAGUGACGUAAUCCGGGAGAAGGCUUUCCCACAUUUAUUACAUUCAUAGGGCUUUUCACCCGUGUGGAUAUUGUGAUGUUUGAUGAGGUACUGCUUCUGCCUGAAAAUCGUUCCGCACUCGUUACAUUUAUAGGGUUUCUCUCCAAUGUGAAUCUUCUCAUGCUCAGUGAGGUUUGAUUUGCCACUGAAGGCUUUCCCACACUCCUUGCACGUGUAAGGAUUCUCUCCAGUGUGACUUCUCUGGUGCCUGAUGAGGCUUGACUUCUGAAUGAAGGCCUUCCCGCAUCCUUUACAUUCAUAAGGUUUCUCCCCAGUGUGGAUCCUCUGGUGUAUAAUCAGGUUUUCCUUCUGGCUGAACGCCUUACCGCACUCAUUACAUUUAAAAGGUUUCUUUCCACUAUGGAUGUUCUGAUGUUUAAUGAGGUACUGCUUCUGGCUGAAGGCUCUUCCACACUGAUUACAUUCAAAUGGCUUCUCUCCAGUAUGAAUUUUCUCAUGUUCUUUGAGAUAUGAUUUGCCAUUAAAAGCUUUCCCACAUUCCUUACAUGCAAAUGGUUUGUUUCCAGCGUUUGUCUGAUUUUUGACGAGGGGUGUCAUCGGAAUGGACGUUUUCUCCGAGUCACAGGGUUUCUCUUCGGUGUGUUGUUUCUGGUGAGAAAGGAAGUUACCUCUCUGGCUGAAGGCUUUUCCACAUUUGCUAUAUCUACAUGACUUCCUCCGUGCAUGACUCCUCAAAUGCAGGGUAAGUGAUGAGACUCGGGAAAACGAUUUGCCACAUUCUGGACAUUCAUGGGACUUCUCCCCACUAUGCGUUUUCUUGUGUUCUACAAAGGUUUGUUUGAGGCUAAAGGUUUCGCUACAUUCAUUACAUUCAUAAAGUUUCUCUCCAGGACUGAGUUCAUCAUGCAGAAGACCUGACUCAGGGUGAAGACUUUCCAACAUUCCGUUCCGUACAAGGAUUUUCUCCCUAGCCUCUACUGAGCGAGGAUGAAAGCUUUUCCGAAUUCACAAUAAACGCAUAGGAAUUUCUUUUCAGUCUUAAUUCACAAGAAUCUAAUGAAACUGAAUUAUAAUGAGACUUUUACGUGAGUACAAGAAGGGACUGACAUACAGCACAGCCUUUAUAUUAAUGGUUCUUUCUGACAGUUUCUCUCAUUUUCAUAAGUAAAUUAUGAAUGUAGGCAAAUUAACUUCAAAUUUUCUUCAACUGAGUCUCAUAUACAAUGUCUGUGCCCAGAGGAAAUACUUUGUCUCCUAGCUUUUCCUAAGAGAUGAGACAACUCACAAGUCUUUCAUCCUGUGUCCUUCUCUGUGUAUAAACUCCAGACACUGUUUCUGAAAGAGAACAACAAGUUACAAAAAGAAUUAACAAGGGUAAAAAUGUUGGUGUCUGGAAUGUAGUAAGUAUCCAAUAAAUUACCUUAUCAAUAAGAUCCUUAA